GGGGUUAUGGCUUAGUGGUUAGAGCGCUUGCCUCUAAUGCAUGGAGCACUGGGUUUGAUCCUUAGCACCA
rfam:Ictidomys tridecemlineatus contig076798, whole genome shotgun sequence.